rnacentral:rRNA from 1 species
GAUGAACGCUGGCGGCGUGCCUAAUACAUGCAAGUCGAGCGAACAGAUGAGGAGCUUGCUCCUCUGACGUUAGCGGCGGACGGGUGAGUAACACGUGGAUAACCUACCUAUAAGACUGGGAUAACUUCGGGAAACCGGAGCUAAUACCGGAUAAUAUAUUGAACCGCAUGGUUCAAUAGUGAAAGACGGUUUUGCUGUCACUUAUAGAUGGAUCCGCGCCGCAUUAGCUAGUUGGUAAGGUAACGGCUUACCAAGGCAACGAUGCGUAGCCGACCUGAGAGGGUGAUCGGCCACACUGGAACUGAGACACGGUCCAGACUCCUACGGGUGGCAGCAGUAGGGAAUCUUCCGCAAUGGGCGAAAGCCUGACGGAGCAACGCCGCGUGAGUGAUGAAGGUCUUCGGAUCGUAAAACUCUGUUAUUAGGGAAGAACAAAUGUGUAAGUAACUAUGCACGUCUUGACGGUACCUAAUCAGAAAGCCACGGCUAACUACGUG